rnacentral:lncRNA from 1 species
CCGGUUCCCCUUGCGGCCUCUGCCACGGUGGUUCGGGAGGCGGCGCGCGGGCCGGGGUGGAGGUGCACGGAGCCGCGGGCGGGGACUGCUGGCCACCACCGUUCUGACUCCCGCCGUCGGGGCGGGAGCUCGCUCGGUCCAAGGUCCCAGAGCCGGAUCGCCGCCCUUGGACUUUGAGCGGGCGCGUGCGGCGGCCACGUGGGCGAGGAGCGCGGGCCGGGCUGCCUCUCGGGGGUGGCGGCCUUGGUUCCUCCCGCGGGGCUGGGCUUGCCGGGGCCCGGAGCCCGCCGGGAAGAGUUCGGAAAUCACACGUGUCCUUUUUCCCGCUCUGUGCCCUCCUUGUUUAGUGCGUUGCCGGUGGGCGCUUUAGGAAAUUGGUAGGAGGAAAAGCGGCUUCUUUUGAAAAGAAUUCUCUUAGGAAUCUCUGGCUUCAUUGAGGACACAGGUGUAAGCAGAAGCUGUGUUCUCAGCUCCAAGAGGCCGACCCCACGAAAGCCUAAGCAGGUGAAUUUCGUAAAGACGUUGACAGUUGGAAAACCUGUGCUUUCAGCACGUGAUAAAUCUGCAGAGUCAGCAGACAAUGAAGAUUUGGCAUUCAAGAACUCCUCAAAUACUUCUCGAU